rnacentral:tRNA from 1 species
AUGAUCGUUGCGGGGCAACGCCUGCCAGUCCUGAUUGCGACCCGACCGGUGGACUUCCGCUGCGGUCAUC